AGGACUUUUCGGGUGGGGAUUUGUUAGGCUGUACUUUGAUUGUAUGGUAUCAAAUUGUUUCUUAAUAUUGUGGUCCCUGAGGAAGUCCCUAUUUUGUUAAAGGGACGAAACGCGUAGGACCUUAUUUAUAUUUAUUUUAUUUAUUUUUAAACACAUUUUAAUAUUGAAUUAAAGCCAUUUUUCCAAACUUCACCCGGAGUCCUGUGUUGGAGUGAAAACAUCCAGGGGAUUUCCCUAGGCCCCCCAUACUAUCGGGGAAGGCACCUUACAAGCUUCAAUUUGUCCAAAAUCCAGUGAGUGCAUUUCAAUUUGCGCAAUGUUUAUACUGUAAACUGUAUUACACUAUAUUCUCUCUAUUUACUUUUGUAGAGAUUAUCAGCCGGUUCCCUCGUUGUUGUUU